rnacentral:rRNA from 1 species
AUUGAACGUUGGCGGCAGGCCUAAUACAUGCAAGUCGAACGGCAGCACAGAGAGCUUGCUCUUGGGUGGCGAGUGGCGGACGGGUGAGUAACGCGUAGGAAUCUACCCAGUAGCGGGGGAUAGCCCGGGGAAACUCGGAUUAAUACCGCAUACGCCCCACGGGGGAAAGGGACCGGGAUCUUCGGACCGGUCACUAUUGGAGGAGCCUGCGUUGGAUUAGCUUGUUGGUGGGGUAAAGGGACCUACCAAGGCUACGAUCCAUAGCUGGUCUGAGAGGACGAUCAGCCACACUGGAACUGAGACACGGUCCAGACUCCUACGGGAGGCAGCAGUA